rnacentral:rRNA from 1 species
CUGGAGGUAUCAGAAGUGCGAAUGCUGACAUAAGUAACGAUAAAGCGGGUGAAAAGCCCGCUCGCCGGAAGACCAAGGGUUCCUGUCCAACGUUAAUCGGGGCAGGGUGAGUCGACCCCUAAGGCGAGGCCGAAAGGCGUAGUCGAUGGGAAACGGGUUAAUAUUCCCGUACUUGGUGUUACUGCGAAGGGGGGACGGAGAAGGCUAUGUUGGCCGGGCGACGGUUGUCCCGGUUUAAGCGUGUAGGUGUGUGUUCCAGGUAAAUCCGGUUCACUUUAACACUGAGGCGUGACGACGAGGCACUACGGUGCUGAAGCAACAAAUGCCCUGCUUCCAGGAAAAGCCUCUAAGCAUCAGGUAACAUCAAAUCGUACCCCAAACCGACACAGGUGGUCAGGUAGAGAAUACCAAGGCGCUUGAGAGAACUCGGGUGAAGGAACUAGGCAAAAUGGUGCCGUAACUUCGGGAGAAGGCACGCUGACAUGUAGGUGAAGUGAUUUACUCAUGGAGCUGAAGUCAGUCGAAGAUACCAGCUGGCUGCAACUGUUUAUUAAAAACACAGCACUGUGCAAACACGAAAGUGGACGUAUACGGUGUGACGCCUGCCCGGUGCCGGAAGGUUAAUUGAUGGGGUCAGCGCAAGCGAAGCUCCUGAUCGAAGCCCCGGUAAACGGCGGCCGUAACUAUAACGGUCCUAAGGUAGCGAAAUUCCUUGUCGGGUAAGUUCCGACCUGCACGAAUGGCGUAAUGAUGGCCAGGCUGUCUCCACCCGAGACUCAGUGAAAUUGAACUCGCUGUGAAGAUGCAGUGUACCCGCGGCAAGACGGAAAGACCCCG